rnacentral:rRNA from 1 species
GUGGCGAACGGGUGAGUAACACGUGAGUAACCUGCCCUUGACUCUGGGAUAAGCGUUGGAAACGACGUCUAAUACCGGAUACGAGCUAGGACCGCAUGGUCACUAGCUGGAAAGAACUUCGGUCAAGGAUGGACUCGCGGCCUAUCAGCUAGUUGGUGAGGUAACGGCUCACCAAGGCGACGACGGGUAGCCGGCCUGAGAGGGUGACCGGCCACACUGGGACUGAGACACGGCCCAGACUCCUACGGGAGACAGCAGUGGGGAAUAUUGCACAAUGGGCGCAAGCCUGAUGCAGCAACGCCGCGUGAGGGACGACGGCCUUCGGGUUGUAAACCUCUUUUAGCAGGGAAGAAGCGCAAGUGACGGUACCUGCAGAAAAAGCACCGGCUAACUACGUGCCAGCAGCCGCGGUAAUACGUAGGGUGCAAGCGUUGUCCGGAAUUAUUGGGCGUAAAGAGCUCGUAGGCGGUCUGUCGCGUCUGCUGUGAAAACCCGAGGCUCAACCUCGGGCCUGCAGUGGGUACGGGCAGACUAGAGUGCGGUAGGGGAGAUUGGAAUUCCUGGUGUAGCGGUGGAAUGCGCAGAUAUCAAGAGGAACACCGAUGGCGAAGGCAGAUCUCUGGGCCGUAACUGACGCUGAGGAGCGAAAGCGUGGGGAGCGAACAGGAUUAGAUACCCUGGUAGUCCAC